AUGGGAAGCUCGGCUUCGGCUUCGGGAGAAGCCUUGAGCAAGACAGAGAAGAUGAUGAAGGAGCUAGGUCUCAAUGAAAACAAUCUGCGGGACGUGGUUGUUGAAGAUGGAGAUAUCCCAGAUGAGGCUGCAAGGUGGAUGGCGAUUGCACGAGUCCACACGACCAAAUCUUAUUCCCAGUAUUGGUUUUACAGAAACAUGAGGGUCGCUUGGGAUCUGGCGCAGGAGGUAAAAUUUCGGCCAUUGGAGGAUAACCUCUAUACCCUUCAAUUUUCAUGCCUUGGGGAUUGGGAG
rnacentral:rRNA from 1 species